AUGUGGUGCUGAGGAUCAAACCCGGGCCGCACGCAUGCCAGAAAAUGAAUUGGAGAUACAGAAAGGCAAAGAACUUGUCCAGAGUUACACAGCUGGGGACCAGCAGAACUGGUAUGUAGAUAUAAGGUCUGUCCGACUUGGAACUAAGACACCUGUCUGAGAGAAGACAGGAGAGAGAAAGCCUGCAUACAGAAGUCUCUUACCACCACCUCCAGCUACAACCAGGAUCUGAUACCAACAAACACCUCAACAUGACGGUCUUCCCCUACCCCAGCCUGGCUGAGUUCCUGUGAGUUCAGUGCAUGUUUAAUGCAGUGCAACUUAGUCUUUAAGUGUGAAGACUGGAAAUCUGGUACUGCUGCAGCCAUCUUGCUACCAAAGCCAGCCUCACAAUGACCCAUAAAUCAGAAGAAAGAGUCAAGAUCUUCGGAGCUUGGAGAACACAGCUGAAUGACCAAAUCAAAUCACUGCUAACAGACACUUUGAUCCUGCUUCUCUCUCCUGCUCUAACAUUUUCAUCAGCUGCUGAUCAGUUCUCCUGUGACAAAGGAACCAUCGGGGGUCAUUACCAGGUGGUGCGGGUUUCUGGCCUUGCUCACUAGCUCUGAGCAGUUCUCUGAGGGCAGGGAGCAUGUAUUCCCCAGCCUCAUCUUCCUGCCAUGUCUUGACACUCAAUAAAUGUUCACUUCUUAAA